rnacentral:rRNA from 1 species
AUUGAACGCUGGCGGCAGGCCUAACACAUGCAAGUCGAGCGGAUGAGGAGAGCUUGCUCUUCGAUUCAGCGGCGGACGGGUGAGUAAUGCCUAGGAAUCUGCCUGGUAGUGGGGGACAACGUUUCGAAAGGAACGCUAAUACCGCAUACGUCCUACGGGAGAAAGCAGGGGACCUUCGGGCCUUGCGCUAUCAGAUGAGCCUAGGUCGGAUUAGCUAGUUGGUGAGGUAAUGGCUCACCAAGGCGACGAUCCGUAACUGGUCUGAGAGGAUGGUCAGUCACACAGGAACUGAGACACGGUCCAGACUCCUACGGGAGGCAGCAGUGGGGAAUAUUGGACAAUGGGCGAAAGCCUGAUCCAGCCAUGCCGCGUGUGUGAAGAAGGUCUUCGGAUUGUAAAGCACUUUAAGUUGGGAGGAAGGGCAGUAAGUUAAUACCUUGCUGUUUUGACGUUACCGACAGAAUAAGCACCGGCUAACUCUGUGCCAGCCGCCGCCGUAACAC